rnacentral:lncRNA from 1 species
AGUAGGUCAGAUAUGUGAAUGUGCUUAUCUGAACUUAAUCAAUUAGAUAUCAAAUCUGAUAACUUAGAAGAGAUCUAAACUUAAAUCUCCUCAUUAAAUAUUAAGUCUAGUGGUCUUCCACCAUUGUAGAGAUGUGGGUGCCUUCUUGAUGUUGAUCAUUCUCGGCUAGUUAUAGUAAUUCGAUUGCAUCGAAAAGGUACAA